CAGGGCUAUAAUGCCUGCAUAACGCAUUCCAUACAAAUCCCCGUCCUGCUCUUACCUACUUCGGUGAAACCUACCGCCAUUAACUGGCUAAAAUGGUUGGUCUGUAUUCUCAACUACUUGUUCAGCCCUUUGUUCAGCUCUGAAACUAGAAGAUUAUUCUUGGGUACCUAUGACACUGAUGAGGAAACAAAAAUGUGUCAGUCGGUCCUGAUCUUCAACAGCCUGGUCACAGGAAUAGUUGCUGCCUCUCUGCACUGAAUCUUUCAGCAGGAAAGAACUCGGGACACUGGGAGAUGGGGCUGCAGCUUUACUAGCCCUUUAGGUAAUGAAUUAAAAUGAAGACACUCUGAGGAAGUGCAUGGAAAACACACUGUUCUCUUACAUGACCUCCUGCGCUGCACAGGGGCACAACCGUGGACACAGUUGCGCGGGCACAACUGGAUCUAACCCCAGUCGGCUUUGAACUCAGGCUGAAACUCAGGCAUAGCAAUCCAAGGAACAGUCAUGGGAAAUAGG
rnacentral:lncRNA from 1 species